GAUGAAGAACGUAGCGAAAUGCGAUAAGUAAUGCGAAUUGCAGAAUUCCAGUGAAUCAUCGAAUCUUUGAACGCACAUUGCGCCCGCUGGUAUUCCGGCGGGCAUGCCUGUUCGAGCGUCAUUUCAACCCUCAAGCCCCCGGGUUUGGUGUUGGGGAUCGGCUCUGCCCUUCUGGGCGGUGCCGCCCCCGAAAUACAUUGGCGGUCUCGCUGCAGCCUCCAUUGCGUAGUAGCUAACACCUCGCAACUGGAACGCGGCGCGGCCAUGCCGUAAAACCCCAACUUCUGAAUGUUGACCUCGGAUCAGGUAGGAAUACCCGCUGAACUUAAGCAUAUCAAUAAGCGGAGGA
rnacentral:misc_RNA from 1 species